AUGCAAGGGGAUUUGACCACGAUGUCGGCGCCGUGGUCAGUGCGAGCCUUCGCCUGCUCACGGAACAUCAGCUUGUGGGACUCAAUCUGGUGGAGAAGAGGAUAAAACAGAAUUACAGGAGAAAAAAGAGUGGAUAUCAUAUUAGCCUGGUGCUACCAGUGUAACCAUGACAACAGACAUUAAAUGAAAGGUGGGACCGCCUACUAACAACCAGCAAAAAGAGAUCUGAGUGACAUGAGGUGAAAAAUCACUGAUCGGCUGUCCUGCAGCACGAGGUUUGGCUGCUGAUGGAGUUUAAUGAGGAGAAAUGCCACUUACUGGAGUGGUUCGGCUUUAGGGCACCGACUUCCCCAUGGAGGGGGUCAAUGGGUGUGUCCCCAUUUGAGUGGACGGAGGCACACGAAGGCCCCGACUCUGCUUCCAUCCCCUUCUCUCUCUAGGGCCAUGAGACAUUCACCACAGGGGACGGGGUUACAAUCAAAGUUAAACAUGAUGUCAAUAAAAUGAGAACCAACAGAAACACAUGAGCAAAUGAAAACCGGAGGAAUUUAAAACGUUGACGUAACGAAGCAGGAAAUUAAUGAAAAAAAAGCAGGUAACAAAAAAGAAUAACCAAGAACCCGAAGGAGAACAGAAAGGAAGGAAGCUACGGAUGGAUACAGCUGAGAAAGUGUGUGUGUGUGUGUGUGUGUGCGUUAGAUAGAGAGAAGAGGAAGGAAAGCAAGACU